GGAUGAACGCUGGCGGCGUGCUUAACACAUGCAAGUCGAACGAAGCACUUUAUUUGCUUUCCUUCGGGACUGAUUAUUUUGUGACUGAGUGGCGGACGGGUGAGUAACGCGUGGGUAACCUGCCUUGUACAGGGGGAUAACAGUUGGAAACGGCUGCUAAUACCGCAUAAGCGCACAGCAUCGCAUGAUGCAGUGUGAAAAACUCCGGUGGUAUAAGAUGGACCCGCGUUGGAUUAGCUAGUUGGUGAGGUAACGGCCCACCAAGGCGACGAUCCAUAGCCGACCUGAGAGGGUGACCGGCCACAUUGGGACUGAGACACGGCCCAAACUCCUACGGGAGGCAGCAGUGGGGAAUAUUGCACAAUGGGCGAAAGCCUGAUGCAGCGACGCCGCGUGAGCGAAGAAGUAUUUCGGUAUGUAAAGCUCUAUCAGCAGGGAAGAUAAUGACGGUACCUGACUAAGAAGCACCGGCUAAAUACGUG
rnacentral:rRNA from 1 species